AUUUGGUCAGGUAACUGCUCCAUUAAGAAAUUCAUUUGGAACAAUUUUGGGUUUGAUUGACCUAUUUGAUUGAAUUGGCAGAUUGGCUGCACUGCUUCAAUGGACAUAAUUCAUGUAGUUGACCAGGUAUCUGAGAUAAACUGAGCAGACGUGUGACAAAACACUCUCUUGCUCUUGGGCCACCCACACCCCACUGAGCUGCCCACUCAGACAUCAGUUAUUCUCUUGAGCUUCUGUUGAACUGUAUUCCAGGGCUCUAUAUUCUCUUUCCCUACAGAUGUUUCUAUGGAGGGCGGAGUUGGAAGAGAGGGCACUUCGAUUACAAGAUAAAACGCUGAACCUUCCUGGAGAUUUAAUUUUUGAGGGCCGUGAUGACUUCUGCGUAAGCACCAUGCCUGCUGUCCAAGCUGCCCCUGUGAUCGUGUGUGAAAAGAUCCCCCAGAUGACUCUUUAUAACUACCCAGUCUGGAGUCGUAAUCUUAUGGUGAGUCAAACAUUACCCGUGUCAACUUGUCGGUGAAGAAACUGACAGUAGCCGUUCCCAUUGGCACAGGCCAAUAGUGAGCUUUGGAGGUGGGACAGCGACCUGGAGAUCAGUGGGGGAUGUGAGUAAAGGAAAGUUGAGAAAUUUAAGGAAGGAAGCACUGGAAAUGUAGACCCCAAGAAUCAGUCUGCCGACUUGAUAUCUUAUCUUUAC
rnacentral:lncRNA from 1 species